rnacentral:rRNA from 1 species
CGCCUUGCCAGCCCGCUCAGAACUUAAAGGAAUUGACGGGGGCCGCACAAGCGGAGGAGCAUGUGGUUUAAUUCGAUGAUACGCGAGGAACCUUACCUGGGCUCGAACGUAAGAUGACUGUAGGUGAAAGCUUACAUCUCUUCGGAGCAUUUUACGAGGUGCUGCAUGGUUGUCGUCAGCUCGUGCCGUGAGGUGUCGGGUUAAGUCCCAUAACGAGCGCAACCCCUACCUUUAGUUGCCAUCAGGUAAUGCUGGGGACUCUAAAGGAACUGCCUACGCAAGUAGUGAGGAAGGCGGGGAUGACGUCAAAUCAGCACGGCCCUUACGUCCAGGGCUACACACGUGCUACAAUGGCCGAUACAGAGGGCAGCUACCUGGUGACAGGAUGCAAAUCUCCAAAGUCGGUCUCAGUUCGGAUCGGAGUCUGCAACCCGACUCCGUGAAGUUGGAUUCGCUAGUAAUCGCGCAUCAGCCAUGGCGCGGUGAAUACGUUCCCGGGCCUU